UACGUAGGGUGCAAGCGUUGUCCGGAAUUAUUGGGCGUAAAGAGCUCGUAGGCGGUUUGUCGCGUCGGCUGUGAAAACCUGGGGCUCAACCCCGGGCCUGCAGUCGAUACGGGCAAACUAGAAUUCGGUAGGGGAGAGUGGAAUUCCUGGUGUAGCGGUGAAAUGCGCAGAUAUCAGGAGGAACACCGGUGGCGAAGGCGGGUCUCUGGGCCGAUAUUGACGCUGAGGAGCGAAAGCGUGGGGAGCGAACAGG
rnacentral:rRNA from 1 species